CACGUAGGCGGAUUGGAAAGUCAGAGGUGAAAUCCCAGAGCUCAACUUUGGAACUGCCUUUGAAACUCCCAGUCUUGAGGUCGAGAGAGGUGAGUGGAAUUCCGAGUGUAGAGGUGAAAUUCGUAGAUAUUCGGAGGAACACCAGUGGCGAAGGCGGCUCACUGGCUCGAUACUGACGCUGAGGUGCGAAAGCGUGGGGAGCAAACA
rnacentral:rRNA from 1 species